rnacentral:rRNA from 1 species
GUCCACGCCGUAAACGAUGUCAACUAGCCGUUGGGAGUCUUGAACUCUUAGUGGCGCAGCUAACGCAUUAAGUUGACCGCCUGGGGAGUACGGCCGCAAGGUUAAAACUCAAAUGAAUUGACGGGGGCCCGCACAAGCGGUGGAGCAUGUGGUUUAAUUCGAAGCAACGCGAAGAACCUUACCAGGCCUUGACAUCCAAUGAACUUUCUAGAGAUAGAUUGGUGCCUUCGGGAACAUUGAGACAGGUGCUGCAUGGCUGUCGU